GACGAACGCUGGCGGCGUGCCUAAUACAUGCAAGUAGAACGCAGUUGCGAACGGGUGAGUAACGCGUAGGUAACUGCCUGGUAGCGGGGGAUAACUAUUGGAAACGAUAGCUAAUACCGCAUACUACCAGAUGGACCUGCGGUGUAUUAGCUAGUUGGUGAGGUAACGGCUCACCAUGGCAACGAUACAUAGCCGACCUGUGAGGGUGGUCGUGCACAACUGGACUGGGACACGGCCCCGACUCCUACGGGAGGCAGUAGUAGUGAAUCUUGGGCAAUGGGGGGAAGCCUGACCGAGCAACUCCGCGUUAGUGAAGAAGGUUUUCGGAUCGUAAAGCUCUGUUGUUAAGGAAGCGGUACUUAACCAGAAAGGGACGGCUAACUACGUGCCAGCAGCCGCGGUAAUUC
rnacentral:rRNA from 1 species